rnacentral:lncRNA from 13 species
GAGAUAACAUUGUGUUCACUUGUCUAUGAAGUUUGGGUUCUCCGUUUGUUUGAUUUGACCGCGUAUGGACCAUCUUGAGUGGUUAAUGUGUGGUCUAUCUAUGGUUAGAGGGACCUGGGGUGCAGACGUUAGUGGAGGUGUUUAAAGUGCUACUUCCUACCUGACGGGUUAGAGGACUUUGCUUCUACUUAUUCAACCAAUCAAUCAAAUUUAUAUGGCCUUUUUUCCACCGGCAGGUAUCACAUAGUACUUUUAUAAUAACCCUGCCUGCACCAUUUAUUUCUCACUGUGUGAUGUCAUAUCCUCUUCCUGUUAAGGCACCUGGCCAACCGGAUGUAGCAGAGCGCUCCUGCUGCUCCUGCCUCAAAUACACACAGGAACUUCGAGUGCAUCUGCAUGUCCUCCUCCCAGACCAGAGGCCUCUUCUCAAACAGUGCCUUAUCAUCCAUCACCUCUUACACACAAACAUGAAUUCACAGAGUUUGAGAGAUGAUUCCCAUGUCAGCCACAAGGGGGUGUUAGUGUGUAGAAGACUACAGAUGGAUUUGUUUUACUGUUGGAGAGAGAUGAAGAGGGAUGUGAGCAGAGCAGCAGGCCCAACCCACCCUCCUAAGCCCCAUCCUGCAACAUCAGAUGCUCAACAUUCUCUGCUCACACCUAAGGUGAUGGUCCGGGCCCAAACCACACAAAAACAACACUAGACACUAUGGAACACAAAGCUUUUACUAUCUCAUCCUGGAAUAUACAAGGUCUGAGGUUAUCUGCCUUUGGCCUAAAGAGCAGGAACCCAGACUUCAUUAAAAAAAAAUGGAAAUACAGACAUUGUAAUCCUACAAGAUACAUGGUGUAAUGGAGACAGACCCACUGGUUGCCCUCUAGGUUACAAAGAGCUGGUAGUCCCAUCCACCAAACUACCAAGUGUGAAACAGGGAAGAGACUCAGGGGGUAUGCUAACUUGCUAUAGAGCAGACCUAACCCACUCUAUUAAAUGAGUCAAAACAGGAACAUUUUACAUCUGGUUAGAAAUUAACAAGGAAAUGAUCUCAACAGAGAAAUGUCUCAUGUGUGCUAAUUAUAACCCUGCAAUAGAAUAUUCAUACUGUAACGAUGACAGCUUUUCCAUCCUAGAAGGGGUGAUCAACAAAUUUCCAGGCCCAGGGAUCAAAGCCAAAGGAACUGAAUAAUAUUAAGAAAUGCUAUAGAUAGAAGGAAAGUAGUGUGGAAAUCGACCAAAAAACUAUUAGGCAACAACAAAUUCAAUCCCUUCUAGACAAUUUCCUGGACAAAAUGUUUCACUGUAAUAAACCUAAACGGUAUAUUUGACCUCUCAGCUUCCGUAUCAAAUCAAAAAAAUUAAAGCAAACAAACCUAAGAAAAUUAACAACAACGACAAAUGGUUUGAUGAAGAAUGCUAAAACCUAAGAAAGAAAUUGAGAAACGUAUCCAAUAACAUUGAGACCCAGAAAACCUGAGCCUACGCCUUCACUAUGUUGAAUCACUAAAACAAUACAGAAAUACACUAUGGGGGAAAAAAAAGGAAUCAGCUCAAUGUAAUUGAAGAAUCCAUAGAAUCUAACUACUUCUGGGAAAAUAGGAAAACUCUUUGUGCUGUUGUUUGUUUAGAGUUAUCUAUCCAAAAAGAAGGUGCAUGGAUAAACCACUUCUCCAAUCUUUUUGGCUCUAUAACAAAGAACAAGCAGCAAAAACAUAUACACAUAUACAUGAUCAAAUACAAAUCUUGGAAUCAACUAUUAAAGACUACCAGAACCCACUGGAUUCUCCAAUUACAUUGAACUACAGGACAAAAUACAAAGCCUCCAACCCAAAAAGGCCUGUGGGGUUGAUGGUAUCCUAAAUGAAAUGAUGGCAUCCUAAAUGAAAUGAUGGUAUCCUAAAUUAAAUGAUGGUAUCCUAAAUGAAAAUAUACAGACCACGAAUUCCAAUUGGCUAUACUUAAACUCUUUAAUAUCAUCCUCAGCUCUGGCAUAUUCCCCAAUAUUUGUUACCAAAAACUGAACACCCCAAUCCACAAAAGUGGAGACAAAUUUGACCCCAAUAACUAAAAUGGGAUAUGAGUCAACAGCAACCUUGGGAAAGUCCUCUGCAUUAUCAAUAACAGCAGACUCGUACAUUUCCUCAGCGAAAACAAUGUACUGAGCAAAUGUCAAAUUGGCUUUUUACCAAAUUACGGUACGACAGACCACGUAUUCACCCUGCACACCCUAAUUUACAAACACACAAACCAACCAGGCAGGUAGCCUCGUGGUUAGAGCAUUAGGCCAGUAACCGAAAGGUUGCUGGAUUGAAUCCCCGAGCUGACAAGGUAAAAAUAUGAUGUUCUGCCCCUUUUAACCCAUUGUUCCCUGGUAGGCCGUCAUUGUAAAUAAGAAUUUGUUGUUAACUGACUUGCCUAAUAAAAUAAAAAGUCUUCUCAUGCUUUGUUGAUUUAAAAAAAAGUUUUUGGCUUGACAGCCUGCUAUACAAAUUGAUGGAAAGUGGUGUUGGGGGAAAAACAUAUGACAUUAUAAAAUCCAUGUACACAAACAACAAGUGUGUGGUUAAAAUUGACAAAAAAACACAUUUCUUUCCACGGGGCCGGGGUUGAGACAGGGAUGCAGUUUAAGCCCCACCCUCUUCAACAUAUAUAUUAACGAAUUGGUGAGAGCACUAGAACAGUCUGCAGCUCCCAGCCUCACCCUACUAGAAUCUGAAGUCAAAUGUCUACUGUUUGUUGAUGAUCUGGUGCUUCUGUCACCAACCAAGGAGGGCCUACAGCAGCACCUAGAUCUUAUGCACAGAUUCUAUCAGACCUGGGCCCUGACAGUAAAUCUCAGAAAUACAAAAAAAAUGAUGUUCCAAAAAAGGUCCAAUUGUCAGGACCAUGAAUACAAAUUCCAUCUAGACAAUGUUGCCCUAGAGCACACAAAUAACUAUACAUACCUCGGCCUAGAGCAGUUAAAUUCUACGACCAUAUUUCCUUCAGAUUACACAGACCCACAAAACAAUAUCCCACAUAUAUUGAGAGAGAGAGAGAGAGAGAGAGAGUGUGUCACGUUCUGACCUUAGUUCCUUUGUUUUGUCUUUUGUUUUAGUAUGGUCAGGGUGUGAGUUGGGUGGGUUGUCUAUGUUAGUUUGUCUAGGAUUUUCUAUUUCUGUGUUUGGCAUGGUAUGGUUCUCAAUCAGAGGCAGCUGUCAAUCGUUGUCC